AAUAGAUACCCCGGUAGUCCACGCCGUAAACGAUGAGUGCUAAGUGUUAGGGGGUUUCCGCCCCUUAGUGCUGCAGCUAACGCAUUAAGCACUCCGCCUGGGGAGUACGGUCGCAAGACUGAAACUCAAAGGAAUUGACGGGGGCCCGCACAAGCGGUGGAGCAUGUGGUUUAAUUCGAAGCAACGCGAAGAACCUUACCAGGUCUUGACAUCCCGCUGACCGCUAUGGAGACAUAGCUUUCCCUUCGGGGACAGCGGUGACAGGUGGUGCAUGGUUGUCGUCAGCUCGUGUCGUGAGAUGUUGGGUUAAGUCCCGCAACGAGCGCAACCCUUGUCCUUAGUUGCCAUCAUUCAGUUGGGCACUCUAAGGAGACUGCCGUACAAAUACGGGAGGAAGGUGGGGAUGACGUCAAAUCAUCAUGCCCCUUAUGACCUGGGCUACACACGUGCUACAAUGGACGGUACAAACGGUUGCGAAGUCGCGAGACGGAGCCAAUCCGAGAAAGCCGUUCUCAGUUCGGAUUGCAGG
rnacentral:rRNA from 1 species